rnacentral:rRNA from 1 species
UAAGGAAUAUUGGACAAUGGAGGCAACUCUGAUCCAGCCAUGCCGCGUGAAGGAAUAAGGCCCUAUGGGUUGUAAACUUCUUUUAGACGGGACAAAACCCCUUUACGUGUAAAGGGUUGAUGGUACUGUCAGAAUAAGCAUCGGCUAACUUCGUGCCAGCAGCCGCGGUAAUACGAAGGAUGCAAGCGUUAUCCGGAAUUAUUGGGUUUAAAGGGUGCGUAGGCGGACUAAUAAGUCAGUGGUGAAAGCCUGCAGCUUAACUGCAGAAUUGCCAUUGAUACUGUUAGUCUUGAGUGCAGUUGAGGUAGGCGGAAUGUGUCAUGUAGCGGUGAAAUGCUUAGAUAUGACACAGAACACCGAUUGCGAAGGCAGCUUGCUAAGCUGUAACUGACGCUGAGGCACGAAAGCGUGGGGAGCAAACA